UACGGGGGGGGCAAGCGUUGUUCGGAAUUACUGGGCGUAAAGGGCUCGUAGGCGGCCAACUAAGUCAGACGUGAAAUCCCUCGGCUUAACCGGGGAACUGCGUCUGAUACUGGAUGGCUUGAGUUUGGGAGAGGGAUGCGGAAUUCCAGGUGUAGCGGUGAAAUGCGUAGAUAUCUGGAGGAACACCGGUGGCGAAGGCGGCAUCCUGGACCAGCACUGACACUGAGGCACGAAAGCGUGGGGAGCAGACAGG
rnacentral:rRNA from 1 species